rnacentral:lncRNA from 1 species
UGGGGACUCAAACCAUAUGGGUUAUGAUUCAAUUAAAUUGAUAAAAAAAAAAAACUUAUAAACCCCAUUUUUUUAUAAAACAAAUUGUUUAAUAACAAAAGUCAAGCAAACAAUUGUUGAUGACUUGGUCCUUUUUGUGCUUGUUAUUCCCGAUUCUUCGUUUAUUCUUUUGUUUUUGGGCCUAGCCAUAACACAAAAAGAAAAGGUAUUUUGAAAUACCUCAUUUGUUUCAGUUUAGGGUUUAAUGUUUUUUGGCUGUUUCUUUUGAUAGCCCUUGAACCUAGGAACUCGGAGAGAUAGAUUACAUGCGCAUCUAGCCACCAAGACAAAGGGAGGGCUGUGAUACAGCUAUCUCAAGUAAUAAAUUUAUUGAUAAAAUUUAAAAGAGACUCAUCCGUCCACAUAAAUGGGUUUUGAAUCUUAGGAAAGCCCAUUGAGUUUUCAUGUUC